AGAGAAGCGGCUGUUGAAGUGUUAAGUUGUAGCCUUAGUAAAGGGUUAACUACCCCUUCUUUA
rnacentral:tRNA from 1 species